CAGUCGCCGCGGGAAUACGAAGGGGGCUAGCGUUGCUCGGAAUUACUGGGCGUAAAGGGAGCGUAGGCGGACUGUUUAGUCAGAGGUGAAAGCCCAGGGCUCAACCUUGGAAUUGCCUUUGAUACUGGCAGUCUUGAGUACGGAAGAGGUAUGUGGAACUCCGAGUGUAGAGGUGAAAUUCGUAGAUAUUCGGAAGAACACCAGUGGCGAAGGCGACAUACUGGUCCGUUACUGACGCUGAGGCUCGAAAGCGUGGGGAGCAAACAGGAUUAGAUACCCGCGUAGUCCCUGUCUCUUAUAC
rnacentral:rRNA from 1 species